rnacentral:piRNA from 1 species
UGACAAGUUGCGCCUCCAUGAUGCCCUGU